UACGAAGGGGGCUAGCGUUGUUCGGAAUCACUGGGCGUAAAGCGCACGUAGGCGGAUGUGUCAGUCAGGGGUGAAAUCCCGGAGCUCAACUUCGGAGCUGCCUUUGAUACAGCACAUCUGGAGUCCGGAAGAGGUGGGUGGAAUUCCUAGUGUAGAGGUGAAAUUCGUAGAUAUUAGGAAGAACACCGGUGGCGAAGGCGGCCCACUGGUCCGGUACUGACGCUGAGGUGCGAAAGCGUGGGGAGCAAACAGG
rnacentral:rRNA from 1 species